rnacentral:rRNA from 1 species
GAUCAUGGCUCAGGAUGAACGCUGGCGGCGUGCCUAAUACAUGCAAGUAGAACGCUGAAGGAAGGAGCUUGCUCUUUCCGGAUGAGUUGCGAACGGGUGAGUAACGGCGUAGGUAACCUGCCUGGUAGCGGGGGAUAACUAGUUGGAAACGAUAGCUAAUACCGCAUAACAGUAGAUGUUGCAUGACAUUUACGUUGAAAGGUGCAAUUGCACCACUACCAGAUGG